rnacentral:rRNA from 1 species
UACGUAGGGGGCAAGCGUUGUCCGGAAUCAUUGGGCGUAAAGAGCGUGUAGGCGGUCCGGUAAGUCCGCUGUGAAAGUCGGGGGCUCAACCCUCGAAUGCCGGUGGAUACUGUCGGGCUAGAGUACGGAAGAGGCGAGUGGAAUCCCUGGUGUAGCGGUGAAAUGCGCAGAUAUCAGGAGGAACACCAAUUGCGAAGGCAGCUCGCUGGGACGUUACUGACGCUGAGACGCGAAAGCGUGGGGAGCAAACAGG